UACAGAGGUCUCAAGCGUUGUUCGGAAUCACUGGGCGUAAAGCGUAUGUAGGCUGUAAGGUAAGUCAGAUGUGAAAGCCCAGGGCUCAACCCUGGAACUGCAUCCGAUACUGCCAUACUAGAGUAGUAGAGGGGUAUAUGGAAUUCACGGUGUAGCAGUGAAAUGCGUAGAUAUCGUGAGGAACACUGGCGGCGAAGGCG
rnacentral:rRNA from 1 species